rnacentral:rRNA from 1 species
AUUGAACGCUGGCGGCAGGCUUAACACAUGCAAGUCGAGCGGAGAGAGGAAGCUUGCUACUGAUCUUAGCGGCGGACGGGUGAGUAAUGCUUAGGAAUCUGCCUAUUAGUGGGGGACAACAUUUCGAAAGGAAUGCUAAUACCGCAUACGUCCUACGGGAGAAAGCAGGGGAUCUUCGGACCUUGCGCUAAUAGAUGAGCCUAGGUCGGAUUAGCUGGUUGGUGGGGUAAAGGCCUACCAAGGCGACGAUCUGUAGCGGGUCUGAGAGGAUGAUCCGCCACACUGGGACUGAGACACGGCCCAGACUCCUACGGGAGGCAGCAGUGGGGAAUAUUGGACAAUGGGCGGAUGCCUGAUCCAGCCAUGCCGCGUGUGUGAAGAAGGCCUUAUGGUUGUAAAGCACUUUAAGCGAGGAGGAGGCUACUUUAGUUAAUACCUAGAGAUAGUGGACGUUACUCGCAGAAUAAGCACCGGCUAACUCUGUGCCAGCAGCCGCGGUAAUAC